AAAAAAGUUUACGAGUGAAGAGUACUGGCGGUUAUUAAAUUCGAGUUUAAUUGUGCAGAGGUAAUUGACAUUGAGCCGAGAAAGACAAGGUAGAAAAUAGUUAAGUUGCGAGCAAGAUUUGAAGAAUCGUAACCUAGACACGAGCAACAAAGGUUGCGUUUAUCGCACUAGGAGAGUUGGGAGUAAAACGCGCUCAGCAAUAGUUUGUUAGCAUCGUAUUUCUAAUCGAUAAUAAUCGAUAGCAUCCGUAACAAUUCGCGACACAAGGAAACUAUUUCUUGUAAGUGUGUAUAUUGUAUAUGUUUAUGUUUUUGGUAAAAC